rfam:Streptomyces sp. CB01249 scaffold2, whole genome shotgun sequence.
CGGACAGGGGGGUUCCUGCCGGCCGGCAGGGCCUGUCCGAUCAGGUCGCGUACGUGCGUGACCAGUGGUUGUCGCUCGGGGGUGAUCGCCG